CUGACUGACUGGGACACCGCUAGUCCUGGCAUGAACUCUGCUGAUGUAGAGAGGACAAAGAGGAGCACAGAGAAGAGGAGGAAGAAGCAGCUGCACCUACUGGUGACACCCAGGCACACUCCUGGACUCCAGCCGCCCAACUGCAGACACAGACACACACUAAGCACGGAUGGGCCAUCAGCUCUAAGGAUAGUAAAGGGAAAGUUCAUCUACAGGAUGAGCCGGACCGGUUCAUGAUGCUGAGAGCGGAACAGCACGUGUCCCAGCCUGGCUUUGAUGAGCACCACCACUUCCAGAGUCAUCAGGAAAACCAGAGUGCCCUCCUUUGUUCGCCAGUCGUAUUGCAGCAGCACAUUUUAAUGGUUAACACCUUGCUUGGAUAGUCCACCUACAGAGACUGUGCAUGAUGAUAUUUUUUGUUGACAUUUGAUUUCAGUCUUAAAAAAUGGUUGAACAUCACCUAAACCAACCCCUAACCCUAAACUCAACCAUAAUUUGCAGAGCUGUACAGUCCAACUACAAAAAAAUCAGUCUAUGCUAUGGAUGAUUUACCAGAUUAGCACUGGUGACAAAUGUUUUCUAAAGUGUAGAUGCUUGUAACUACAUACCGAUGCUAGAGAUUUUGUGGAUUGUGCUACAAACCUAUUAACUUCUGUAGCACCAGUGCUAUGGGCAAAAAAGUUAAUGUACAGCCCUAUUUGUUAACAGAGUGUCAACUGAUAGUUUGUUUAUAAUCUGUGCACCCGUAACAGGAAACCAUCCAAGAAAAAUGAGACUGAAUAGGAUGUGUUAAAAGCUAAACUGAGAGUUUCUCAUUUGAGCCUUAAAAAGUUCUCAUGAGUUUGAUUUGUCAGUUAUUUUGUCAGUUAGCUCUUAUGGCAAUCAGUUAUUGAAUGUUGUCAACAUCUAAGGUUCUGAUGAAGUGUUUCUUUUCUAGUAUUGUAGGGAAUUGGUAAAGGCCCACAUUUUGACACACAUCUUAGGUUCAUUGUUUAAAAUAGCUACAUGCCAUUUGAAUUACAUAGCCUCCUGCCAUUUGUCCUGAAGGAUUUCAAUAGUGAAAUAUGCCCUCUCGUAAGGUAUUCAAUUGCAGGAGGAAAUGGGAACUGAUCAGUGUUUCAUCAGCACUCUGUGUAGAGAUGGCUUGACCAACACAGCAUCGGGGGAUUAUUAUGUCAAGGGGUUUUCCAUUUCCAUUGAGAAUCCACUGGCCCCACAGUAGCACCCCCAGUCAUGGAGAGCAGAGAAAACAUCUGCACAAUUGUUUCCAACAGGUGCUCUUGACUGACAGACAUCUCCAUGAGCAAAAGUGAGUGGGCGGCCAGUUGUGUCAGCAUUAACCACAGCUGCCAACGCCUGACUUCUAAUGCAACCUUUUGGCAAUCCUUUAUACUUGAACCCUCUGUCACAACACUAACAUUACCCGCUCAUGAAUGUGUCAUAGCAAAUGACAUUUCUUGUCAUGACAGUCAAUGAUGGGCAAAGCCCAAAGUCUUAAGUCUAAACAAUGUUAAUUUAAUAACAUAGACAAAAUCUAUUUGCUAAUUUAAUAGCCAGAUCCUGAGCACACACACUGGUAGGUCUUCUCAAUGCUUCCCCAAGCUACAUGAUAGCUUUAGUUCAUACAUGAGACACUUUGCUCAUUGACUGACUCUGCACUUUGCCCAUUAUUUAACUUAGAAGCCUGUGAGUGUCCAGUGAUGUAAUAGUAACACUUUUAAUUACUGACACUUAAAAUGUUAUUUUCAUUUCAGCCUUAAUAUUAGUUCAUGUUAUGACAUGUUAUAAGCAUGUGACAUAUGCAGUUAUCACAUUCAAAAUAUACAAAUAAAGAUGAUAAUAAGACACUGUCAAUUUAUCAAAUACAUUUUGGAUAUACACAAAAGAGGUGUUCAGUUCCUUGCGCUGUAGUUAAGAGAUUCUCCACAGUGGCCAAUCAUUGACUAUCACAUGUGCUGGCAAGAACCAAAAUCACCAACAAAGCAACCUUUGUGCACAAAAAAACAGCAUAACCAACAGAGCAGCCUUUGGGACCAUUUCACUGGGGUUAUUAGGCACCUUCCUUCAUAAGUGUUUCAUUGAAUUAGGCCUAAGACACCUACGGAAGGCUCACACUGACUGUUGCUUAUCACUGGGAAUGCCAUUUUCCAUAACAUGUUCAUAACAAAGUUCAAAUUUAUUGAUAGGCUAUAGCUCUUUUUAGAAGAGAACCUGUUCCAAAGUGCUUUACAGUGCUUUAAAAAAAAAACACCAAACACCAAACAAAUGCUAGGA